rnacentral:rRNA from 1 species
CCUACGGGAGGCAGCAGUAGGGAAUAUUGCACAAUGGGGGAAACCCUGAAGCAGCGACGCCGCGUGAGUGAUGAAGGUUUUCGGUAUGUAAAGUCCUAUUGGCAGGGAAGAAAAUGACGGUACCUAAGUAAUAAGCCCCGGCUAACUCCGUGCCAGCAGCCGCGGUAAUACGUAGGGGGCAAGCGUUAUCCGGAUUUACUGGGUGUAAAGGGAGCGUAGACGGGAGAGCAAGUCUGGUGUGAAAGCCGAUGGCUCAACCCUAGAACUGCAUUUGAAACUGUUAGGCUGGAGUGUGGGAGAGGUAAGUGGAAUUCCUGGUGUAGCGGUAAAAUCCGUAGAGAUUAAGAGGAAUACUAAUGGCGAAGGCGACUUGCUGGAACAUAACUGACGCUGAGGCUCGAAAGCGUGGGGAGCAAACAGGAUUAGAUACCCUAGUAGUC